GCAGUCUUGGCCGAGUGGUUAAGGCGAUGGACUCGAAAUCCAUUGGGGUUUCCCCGCACAGGUUCGAAUCCUGUCGGCUGCG
rnacentral:tRNA from 1 species